UCUAAAAGUGUUGGGGAUAUAUAACCCCCUCCCCCAAUCCCCUCCCCGGUCUAGGCAUUUACGUCCCUAGCUGUCUGUAUACUGCUCCACUUUUGGCGGGGAUAAAAUACAGAAAAUUAGUACUCGGUCUGCUCGCAAAGCAGGUAUACUUGUAACAAAUCAAAAACCCUUUUCAAAGGUUAAUUUCUGAUGUGAUUGUUUUCCUUAAUACAUUUGUAAUUUUUUUCUCUAUCCAACUCGGGUACCAAAACUGCCCAAGUGGAAUUUGCUGACAUCGGAGCACGUAGGGGUGAACAACCAGAGAUUCCAACAAUGGGAAGCAGAAUAUUGUUUUCAAAGGAAAUUGUGUAAUACACCAGCUAGAAUACGAGAUGUACUGAUUCACGAAAUAUGUCAUGCAGCAGUCUGGAUCAUCACUGAGGCCAAGGAUCAGGGACAGCAUGGCAACAUAUGGAAGGGCUGCACUCGGUCAUUAUACAGCUGCCAGAACAACUUUCCUGAUGCCAAUGGAGAAAUGCCUGGUUUCUCCAACGACUGAUUGCCUUGCAGUGACACUGAGAAUAUCUCGCUGCCUUCACUUGAACCCUGGCAUGGGACAAGUGAUGCUCUCUUUUGUUGUCAUUAAUUGCAGAGGUUCGAGGUUUGAAUCCAAACAAACUCUUCAAUACUUUCAAUCUGUAAUUUGGGAAAUAAGUCAUUUGGUUCACCCAUUACUUUAAUUUGUUAACAAAGUUGUCAGGGGCAUAUCAAGGUCAUUUUUUUAUGGGGGUUACAAAUUUAUUGAAAAGGGCACUUGCAUUUCCCAGCUGAAAUUUUUUUUCUCCAGACACUUGCAAAUAGUGGGGGAGGUGGGGGCUGGUUCUUGUUGUGGACACUUGACAAAUUGAAUUUAUUAAAUCU